AAGCUAGCUCAGUCAGUAGAGCAUGAGACUCUUAACCUCAGGGUUGUGGGUUUGAGCCCCAUGUUU
rnacentral:tRNA from 1 species